GGGGUACAGGUCACGUGGCGAUGAAUGUGAUUAUAGGGGUACUGAUCACGUGAUGAUGAAUGUGAUUAUAGGGGUACUGAUCACGUGAUGAUGAAUGUGAUUAUAGGGGUACAGGUCACGCGGUGAUGAAUGUGAUUAUAGGGUGAUCACGUGAUGAUGAAUGUGAUUAUAGGAGUACAGGUCACGUGGCGAUGAAUGUGAUUAUAGGGGUACAGGUCACGUGAUGAUGAAUGUGAUUAUAGGGGUACUGAUCAUGUGAUGAUGAAUGUGAUUAUAGGGGUACAGGUCACGUGGUGAUGAAUGUGAUUAUAGGGGUACAGGUCACGUGGUGAUGAAUGUCAUUAUAGGGGUACUGAUCACGUGAUGAUGAAUGUGAUUAUAGGGGUACAGGUCACGUGGUGAUGUCAUUAUAGGGGUACAGGUCACGUGAUGAUGAAUGUGAUUAUAGGGGUACAGGUCACGUGGUGAUGAAUGUGAUUAUAGGGGUACAGGUCACGUGAUGAUGAAUGUGAUUAUAGGGGUACAGGUCACGUGAUGAUGAAUGUGAUUAUAGAGGUACAGGUCACGUGAUGAUGAAUGUGACUAUAGGGGUACAGGUCACGUGAUGAUGAAUGUGAUUAUAGGGGUACAGGUCACGUGGCGAUGAAUGUAAUUAUAGGGGUACAGGUCACGUGAUGAUGAAUGUGAUUAUAGGGGUACAGGUCACGUGAUGAUGAAUGUGAUUAUAGGGGUACAGGUCACGUGGUGAUGAAUGUGAUUAUAGGGGUACAGGUCACGUGAUGAUGAAUGUGAUUAUAGGGGUACAGGUCACGUGGCGAUGAAUGUGAUUAUAGGGGUACUGAUCACGUGGUGAUGAAUGUGAUUAUAGGAGUACAGGUCACGUGGUGAUGAAUGUGAUUAUAGGGGUACAGGUCACGUGGUGAUGUCAUUAUAGGGGUACAGGUCACGUGGUGAUGAAUGUGAUUAUAGGGGUACAGGUCACGUGAUGAUGAAUGUGAUUAUAGGGGUACAGGUCACGUGAUGAUAAAUGUGAUUAUAGGGGUACAGGUCACGUGAUGAUGAAUGUGACUAUAGGGGUACAGGUCACGUGAUGAUGAAUGUGAUUAUAGGGGUAUAGGUCACGUGACGAUGAAUGUGAUUAUAGGGGUACAGGUCACGUGAUGAUAAAUGUGAUUAUAGGGGUACAGGUCACGUGGCGAUGAAUGUGAUUAUAGGGGUACUGAUCACGUGGUGAUGAAUGUGAUUAUAGGGGUACAGGUCACGUGGUGAUGAUGAGAGAGAGAGAGAGACACAGACUAUAAAUACACAGCAGCAGCAGGCAUCUUCAUGGUCACGGGA